UACGUAGGGAGCGAGCGUUGUCCGGAUUUAUUGGGCGUAAAGCGCGCGUAGGCGGUUUUGUAAGUCGGGUGUGAAAACUCCAAGCUCAACUUGGAGCCUGCAUCCGAAACUGCGAUGACUAGAGUCUGGUAGGGGAACACGGAAUACCUGGUGUAGCGGUGAAAUGCUUAGAUAUCAGGUGGAACACCAGUGGCGAAGGCGGUGUUCUGGGCCAGUACUGACGCUGAUGCGCGAAAGCGUGGGGAGCGAACAGG
rnacentral:rRNA from 1 species